rnacentral:rRNA from 1 species
AGUGAACGCUGGCGGUAGGCCUAACACAUGCAAGUCGAACGGCAGCACAGUAAGAGCUUGCUCUUACGGGUGGCGAGUGGCGGACGGGUGAGGAAUACAUCGGAAUCUACUUUUUCGUGGAGGAUAACGGAGGGACACUUACGCUAAUACCGCAUACGACCUACGGGUGAAAGCAGGGGAUCUUCGGACCUUGCGCGAUUGAAUGAGCCGAUGUCGGAUUAGCUAGUUGGCGGGGUAAAGGCCCACCAAGGCGACGAUCCGUAGCUGGUCUGAGAGGAUGAUCAGCCACACUGGAACUGAGACACGGUCCAGACUCCUACGGGAGGCAGCAGUGGGGAAUAUUGGACAAUGGGCGCAAGCCUGAUCCAGCCAUACCGCGUGGGUGAAGAAGGCCUUCGGGUUGUAAAGCCCUUUUGUUGGGAAAGAAAAGCAGCAGGUUAAUACCCCGCUGUUCUGACGGUACCCAAAGAAUAAGCACCGGCUAACUUCGUG